GAAUCUGCCUUCAGGUCUGGGACAACAGAAGGAAACUUCUGCUAAUCCCGGAUGAGCCUAAUGGUAAAAGAUAAAUUGCCUGGAGAUGAGCUCGCGUCUGAUUAGCUAGUUGGUGAGGUAAAAGCUUACCAAGGCGACGAUCAGUAGCUGGUCUGAGAGGAUGAGCAGCCACACUGGGACUGAGACACGGCCCAGACUCCUACGGGAGGCAGCAGUGGGGAAUUUUCCGCAAUGGGCGAAAGCCUGACGGAGCAAGACCGCGUGGGGGAGGAAGGCUUUAGGGUUGUAAACCCCUUUUCUUUGGGAAGAAGUUCUGACGGUACCAAAGGAAUCAGCCUCGGCUAACUCCGUGCCAGCAGCCGCGGUAAUACGGAGGAGGCAAGCGUUAUCCGGAAUGAUUGGGCGUAAAGCGUCCGCAGGUGGCCAUGUAAGUCUGCUGUCAAAACCCAAGGCUCAACUCUGGUCAGGCAGUGGAAACUACAAAGCUAGAGUCUGGUAGGGGCAAAGGGAAUUCCCGGCGUAGCGGUGAGAUGCCUAAAUUUCGGGAAGAACAUCGGUGGCGAAAGCGCUUUGCUAGACCAGAACUGACACUCAUGGACGAAAG
rnacentral:rRNA from 1 species